rnacentral:lncRNA from 1 species
UUUUGGCACACGGAGGCCGCCCGCCAAGUCUGGGGCCAUUCCGAGUCCCGCGGACGAACUUCGCCCACGCCCCCCACCAAGGCUAUAGCCCACCCGUUUUUUGGCCAUUUUUCCGCUGGGGGGUCUUGGGACCCCGACCUUCGGGGGCUGAUUUUUGGGCGCGGCUGUGCCCGUGGCCUAUUUUUGGCACACGGAGGCCGCCCGCCAAGUAUGGUGCCAUUCCGAGUCCCGCGGACGAACUUCGCCCACGCCCCCCACCAAGGCUAUAGCCCACGCGUUUCUUGGCCUUUUUUCCGCUGGGGGGUCUUGUGACCCCGACCUUCGGGGGCUGAUUUUUGGGCGCGGCUGUGCCCGUGGCCUAUUUUUGGCACACGGAGGCCGCCCGCCAAGUCUGGGGCCAUUCCGAGUCC